rnacentral:misc_RNA from 1 species
AAAGAUCGCAGCCUUCGGCAGCUCCUACAGGUUCCGGGUUCGCCACGAUACCUGUGUAGGAGCUGCCGAAGGCUGCGAUCUUU